rnacentral:rRNA from 1 species
ACGAACGCUGGCGGCGUGCUUAACACAUGCCAGUCGCACGGAAAGGCCCUGCUUGCAGGGUCCUCGAGUGGCGAACGGGUGAGUAACACGUGGGUGAUCUGCCCUGCACUUCGGGAUAAGCCUGGGAAACUGGGUCUAAUACCGGAUAGGAGCCAUUUUUAGUGGGAUGGUUGGAAAGUUUUUUCGGUGUAGGAUGAGCUCGCGGCCUAUCAGCUUGUUGGUGGGGUAAUGGCCUACCAAGGCGGCGACGGGUAGCCGGCCUGAGAGGGUGGACGGCCACAUUGGGACUGAGAUACGGCCCAGACUCCUACGGGAGGCAGCAGUGGGGAAGAUUGCACAAGGGGCGCAAGCCUGAUGCAGCGACGCCGCGUGGGGGAUGACGGCCUUCGGGUUGGAAACUCCUUUCGCUAGGGACGAAGCUUUUUGUGACGGUACCUAGAUAAGAAGCACCGGCUAACUACGUG